GGGAGAGGGGCGAACCGGCCCCCCACAGCCACUGCAGUUACCAGAAAUCUUCCGCCUCUGCUGUAUGGACCUUACUGGCACCAACCCCGGCAGUAUGAGCAGGAGUUCCACCAUCUUCCUCUGAAGACGUAGCCAUCUUGCUCCAUGAAGACUGGAAUCCACAAAAUGACCUGCAGGCCCAGGCACGAUGUCAUCGAAUUGGGCAGAGCAAAGCUGUAAAGGUGUACCGCCUCAUCACUCGUAAUUCCUACGAGAGAGAGAUGUUUGAUAAGGCCAGCCUCAAGUUGGGGUUGGAUAAGGCUGUGCUUCAAUCCAUGAGUGGUCGGGACGGCAACAUUACUGGAAUCCAACAGUUCUCUAAGAAGGAGAUUGAAGAUCUUUUAAGAAAAGGAGCAUAUGCAGCCAUCAUGGAGGAAGAUGAUGAAGGCUCCAAGUUUUGUGAAGAGGACAUUGACCAGAUCUUGUUAAGACGAACUACAACCAUCACCAUUGAAUCUGAAGGAAAAGGUUCCACCUUUGCUAAGGUCUAUCUAUCCCUGUGCCUCGUGGACGCAAAGGAAAAAAAGUAAAGUCACAAAGCACUUUUGAUAUCCAUAAGGCAGAUUGGAUCCGGAAAUAUAACCCUGACACUUUGUUCCAAGAUGAAAGUUAUAAGAAGCACUUGAAACAUCAGUGUAACAAGUAAGCAUAGAAUUAGCAGACAUUUUCCCCCUCAAACUUCUACACUGUUACUGAGCCAGCUCUUCCUCUGUCCUUUCUAGGGUACUGUUGCGGGUACGAAUGCUAUACUACCUGAGGCAGGAGGUUAUUGGAGACCAAGCAGAAAAGGUGUUAGGGGGUGCGAUUGCCAGUGAGAUUGACAUAUGGUUCCCAGUAGUGGAUCAACUGGAGGUUCCAACAACUUGGUGGGACAGUGAGGCUGACAAGUCGCUGCUCAUUGGAGUCUUUAAACAUGGCUAUGAGAAAUAUAAUACUAUGAGGGCAGACCCAGCCUUAUGUUUCCUAGAAAAGGCUGGCCGACCAGAUGACAAAGCAAUUGCAGCAGAACAUCGAGUGUUGGAUAACUUCUCUGACAUAGUAGAAGGGGUUGACUUUGAUAAAGAUUGUGAAGAUCCUGAAUAUAAACCACUCCAAGGUCCCCCAAAGGACCAAGAUGAUGAGGGUGAUCCCUUGAUGAUGAUGGAUGAGGAGAUCUCAGUGAUUGAUGGAGAUGAAGCCCACGUGACCCAACAGCCAGGCCAUUUAUUCUGGCCUCCGGGCUCUGCCCUAACAGCUAGGCUUCGGCGUCUAGUAACAGCAUAUCAGCGCAGCU
rnacentral:sRNA from 1 species